rnacentral:pre_miRNA from 1 species
UUUGUACUCCCUCCGUCCCAAAAUUCUUGUCUUAAAUUUGUCUAAAUACGGAUGUAUCUAGUUACAUUUUAGUGUUAGAUACAUCUGUAUCUAAACAAAUGUAAGAUAAGAAUUUUGGGACGGAGGGAAUACUAC